UACGUAGGGCGCGAGCGUUGUCCGGAAUUAUUGGGCGUAAAGAGCUCGUAGGCGGCCUGUCGCGUCCGCUGUGAAAACCCGGGGCUUAACCCCGGGCCUGCAGUGGAUACGGGCAGGCUGGAGGCAGGCAGGGGAGAACGGAAUUCCCGGUGUAGCGGUGAAAUGCGCAGAUAUCAGGAAGAACACCCGUGGCUAAGGCGGCUCUCUAGUACGGUACUGACGCUGAGACGCGAAAGCGUGGGGAGCGAACAGG
rnacentral:rRNA from 1 species